GCCGAUGUAGCUCAGAUGGUAGAGCAACGCCAUGGUAAGGCGUAGGUCGACGGUUCGAUUCCGUCCAUCGGCU
rnacentral:tRNA from 1 species